rfam:Cordyceps confragosa RCEF 1005 scaffold_1, whole genome shotgun sequence.
ACAUACGACCAUAGGUGACAGAGAAUUCGGGAUCCCGUCUGCUCUCCCAUAGACAAGCUGUCAACCGGCAGAUUAGUAGUUGGGUCGGUGACGACCAGCGAACACCGGCUGUUGUAUGUA